rnacentral:rRNA from 1 species
AGAGUUUGAUCAUGGCUCAGAUUGAACGCUGGCGGCAGGCCUAACACAUGCAAGUCGAACGGUAACAGGAAACAGCUUGCUGUUUCGCUGACGAGUGGCGGACGGGUGAGUAAUGUCUGGGAAACUGCCUGAUGGAGGGGGAUAACUACUGGAAACGGUAGCUAAUACCGCAUAACGUCGCAAGACCAAAGAGGGGGACCUUAGGGCCUCUUGCCAUCGGAUGUGCCCAGAUGGGAUUAGCUAGUAGGUGGGGUAAAGGCUCACCUAGGCGACGAUCCCUAGCUGGUCUGAGAGGAUGACCAGCCACACUGGAACUGAGACACGGUCCAGACUCCUACGGGAGGCAGCAGUGGGGAAUAUUGCACAAUGGGCGCAAGCCUGAUGCAGCCAUGCCGCGUGUAUGAAGAAGGCCUUCGGGUUGUAAAGUACUUUCAGCGGGGAGGAAGGGAGUAAAGUUAAUACCUUUGCUCAUUGACGUUACCCGCAGAAGAAGCACCGGCUAACUCCGUGCCAGCAGCCGCGGUAAUACGGAGGGUGCAAGCGUUAAUCGGAAUUACUGGGCGUAAAGCGCACGCAGGCGGUUUGUUAAGUCAGAUGUGAAAUCCCGGGCUCAACCUGGGAACUGCAUCUGAUACUGGCAAGCUUGAGUCUCGUAGAGGGGGUAGAAUUCCAGGUGUAGCGGUGAAAUGCGUAGAGAUCUGGAGGAAUACCGGUGGCGAAGGCGGCCCCCUGGACGAAGACUGACGCUCAGGUGCGAAAGCGUGGGGAGCAAACAGGAUUAGAUACCCUGGUAGUCCACGCCGUAAACGAUGUCGACUUGGAGGUUGUGCCCUUGAGGCGUGGCUUCCGGAGCUAACGCGUUAAGUCGACCGCCUGGGGAGUACGGCCGCAAGGUUAAAACUCAAAUGAAUUGACGGGGGCCCGCACAAGCGGUGGAGCAUGUGGUUUAAUUCGAUGCAACGCGAAGAACCUUACCUGGUCUUGACAUCCACGGAAGUUUUCAGAGAUGAGAAUGUGCCUUCGGGAACCGUGAGACAGGUGCUGCAUGGCUGUCGUCAGCUCGUGUUGUGAAAUGUUGGGUUAAGUCCCGCAACGAGCGCAACCCUUAUCCUUUGUUGCCAGCGGUCCGGCCGGGAACUCAAAGGAGACUGCCAGUGAUAAACUGGAGGAAGGUGGGGAUGACGUCAAGUCAUCAUGGCCCUUACGACCAGGGCUACACACGUGCUACAAUGGCGCAUACAAAGAGAAGCGACCUCGCGAGAGCAAGCGGACCUCAUAAAGUGCGUCGUAGUCCGGAUUGGAGUCUGCAACUCGACUCCAUGAAGUCGGAAUCGCUAGUAAUCGUGGAUCAGAAUGCCACGGUGAAUACGUUCCCGGGCCUUGUACACACCGCCCGUCACACCAUGGGAGUGGGUUGCAAAAGAAGUAGGUAGCUUAACCUUCGGGAGGGCGCUUACCACUUUGUGAUUCAUGACUGGGGUGAAGUCGUAACAAGGUAACCGUAGGGGAACCUGCGGUUGGAUCACCU